NNNNNNNNNNNNNNNNNNNNNNNNNNNNNNNNNNNNNNNNNNNNNNNNNNNNNUGGCACCAACAGGUCAAAGGUGGGACGAGAUUCAGUUGGCAUCAACAAGACCAAAGUGAGAUUGGAUCCAGCUGGCACCAACAGGUCAAAGGUGGGACGGGAUUCAGUUGCCAUCAACAGAGUCAAAGCAAGACAGCAUCUGGUUGGCAUGAACAAGACCAAAGCAGGAGGGGAUCCAGUUGGCAUCAACAAGACCAAAGCAGGACGGGAUCCAGCUGGCACCAACAGGUCCAAGGCAGGAUGGGACCCAGCUGGCACAGUCCGCGUCACCCGACCUAAAGUGGGAUGGGAUCCACUUGGUACCAUGCGGAUUGCCCGUCCCAAAGCAGAGCGGAUUGUAGUGGGAGCCAACCAGAGCACCAGGAGUUGGGUUUUGGUGGGAACCACGCCAGGCACCAAGCCCCACGCAGGACAGGAUCCAGUGUGGUCCACCAGGAGCACCCAGGGGCUGGCAGGAUGGGAUGCCAUUAGUGCCAUCCAAGGCAUUAUGGGACAGGAGAUUGCUGGUGUCACGCAGAGCACCAGGUCCAACGCAGAGCAGAACUCAGCCCCUACCACGAGAUUCCAAGCAAGUGCUGCUGUAUCGAGUAACCACAGCCUGGGAGAACCAGGUCCAGGGGGUCCCACGGGGAGCACACACCCUGCAGUAGUACCAGAUCCAGAAAGUACCAUGAAGAGUGAAGCUCCUACAGCAGAACCAAGUCUAGAAGGGACCUCACAGGUUUCACGUCCCUCAGCAGAACUGGGUUCUGAAGGUCCCAUAAGGAGCACACAACAUGCAGCAGAUCUAUGUCCUGAAAGUACCAUGUGGAGCAUAUAUCCCACAGCAGAACCAGCUCCAGAAGGUACCAUGAAAAGCACAGAUCCUAUAACAGAACUGAGUCCAGAAGGUACCAUGAGCAUGCAUCCUUUAACAGAACUGGACCCAGAUGGUAACGUGGGGAGUGCACAUACUUCAGUAGAACCAGACCCUAGAGGUGCCAUGAAUAGCACAGGUCCUACAGCAGGACUGGAUUCAGAUGAUAUCAUGGGGAGUACACAUCCCACAGCAAAACUCGGUCCAGAUCAUACCAUGGGGAGCACACAUCCUGCAGCAGAACCAGGUCCAGAAGGUACUGUGAAGAGCACAGGUCUUACAGCAGAAUCAGUUCUAGAAGGGACCAUGUGGAGCGCACAACUCACAGCAGAGCUGAGUCCAGGAGGCACUGUAGGCACACAUCCUGCAGCAGAAUUGGAACCAGAUGUUACCAUAAGGAGCACGCAUUCUGCAGCAGAACCAGGUCUGGACAGUAUCACACAGAGCCCACAUCCUGCAGCAGAGUUCAGUCUGAAUAAUAUAAUAUGGAGCACACAUCCCACCACAGAACUGGGUCCAAAUGUUACCACACGGGAUGCACAUCCUUCAGCAGAACUGGGUCCUGAUGGUACUGUGAGCACACAUCCCACCACAGAACUGGGUCCAAAUGUUACCACAUGGGAUGCACAUCCUUCAGCAGAACUGGGUCCAGAUGGUACAGUGAGCACACAUCCUGCAGCAGAAUUGGUUCCAGAUGUUACCACGAGGAGCACACGUCCUGCAGCAGAACUGGGUCCAGAUGUUACCAUGAGGGGCACACAUUCUGCAGCAGAAUUGGAACCAG
ensembl:lncRNA